UUCAAUUAAUGUCUACCACAUUGACUAUUAACAUACAUUUUAAAAGACAAUUUAAAUAAUAUUUAUAAUAUUAUAUUUAUUUCCUAACACCAUUCAGUAUGUUAUAUUGAAAUAUUCACAAUUAAAUAUAAUAUGCUAAGUGUGCUGUGUAUUAUUCAAUAAAUAUCAGAUAAGAUCAGGAUCAGAUAAGAGAUCAAUUAGCAUCAUUAACACUAAUCCCUAUCAGUGCUCCAUCUAGCCAAAACAAAGGGGUGUUUAUAGAAUUUUGAUUGGUUCUGGGACCAUCUAUUUGAAAACAAACCACUUUUGAUUGGUUGGAGCACAGCAAGUUAUUUGGAGCACAGGAAGUUAUUUUUGUAAACAAUUUGGUUUCAGCAACUUAAAUUGAGCUAAAUUUUUAGGUAUAAUUCAGCAACAUUAAUUCUAGUGUCAAAUGUCUUGAAAUUCUUUCAGCACAUGAACUAUUGUGUGAUGAAAACAAUGUGUAUUUACUACAAUGUGUAAAUCAACAAUAAGUUUGUUGCAAAGAAGAUUCAAAGUGGGUGGUUAAAGUGAUCAACAACUGCCGUUUUUGUUUUUUUGGAAUGCUGAAGAACAGCUGUAACAGGUUAAACCCCAAGGUGAAAUUUACAUUGAUCGGAAGAUCCAUUGGACAGAAUGUGCAUCAUCGCCUGCCAAAAAGGGAGCAAAAAGGGGACUACCUGAUGUAUGGACAUGUAUACCAGGCCAACUUGAGGGGAACAGGAGUGGGAAACCGUGCCCUGUAGCUUGUCCUUGACCAAGAAAAGAUGGAUUUGUUGAGAGGACCUGAUCUCAAAUGAGAUCAUGCACGAGAAGCGCCUCGCAGACCAUGACAGUAGUAUUCAGACCUGAUCAGCUGGUGAAGUGCUCUAUAAAGGGUUGUUUAUGAAUGCAUUCUUUGUAAGGAACAGUGUAUAACAACAAAUAUAGUGACAGGGGCUAAGCUGCUAAAUAUUGUCAGCAUGUAUGCAGUGAU